CGUCGCCAACCUUGGACCAACCUCGGUCCAAUUCUCGAGUUAUCGGAAUCAUUUUCUGAAAGAAAGUAACCGAAUAACGACGUAUUUUGAUAUUCUGUAACAUAUGUUGAUCAUUUGUGGAAUUGGCCGUGGUGGUAGUGCGCCCGACUCACGAUCGGAAGACCGUGGAUUUGAUUCCCGCCUCGACCAGAUAUUUUUCUCGGGAGAAUUUAUCUGGUUGAAGCUGGAAUGAUUCUGCAACCGUGUUAGGAAUCACACGUUAAAAGUGAUUACCUAUUCAAGUUACUCCUUAUUGGCGACUCUGGUGUAGGUAAAUCGUGUUUGCUCUUACGAUUUGCGGAUGAUACUUAUACAGAGAGUUAUAUCAGUACCAUAGGAGUAG